GAGAACAAGCUGUCCGAGUGGAAGUUGAACUCAUUUCAAGCUCUCUUUUGGGAGGAGAAGGUUGCAAAAGGAAGAUGGGGAAAGUCAACGUUUUGCUGAAACGGAGUUACGUCUGCACGAUAAGUGUGAUAGCGAUAACCGCUGUCCUCACCUUAGGAAUAACCGUCUUCAGUCAUGGAAUGCUUCUGGACGAGGAGGAUGUCCAUAUUUUCAAGGGGAUAUAUUCCUUGUAUGGGGUUUCUGUCAUCCCUCUCCUCUUUGCCAUCAUUGGCGGGUUUGGUGUCUGGAAGGAGAAAAAGUGGGCUCUGAUAGUGUUUGCAGUCGGAAUGAUCCUGGGAUGUCUGUUCUUCAUCGUUCUUGAAAUAUCCCUUCCAUUUGCAUAUCAACAGAUGGAACUUAUGGUGAAGAAUAAAUACCUCAGCUUGUUGCCUCUCUCAAAUUUAAGUGAGAGUGAAUUAUUGGAAUUCGACUAUACACAGAGUGAGUUUCACUGUUGUGGGUUAACAAGUCUCGAGGACUGGGAAAACAACAUUCCCGAAUCAUGCCAGUGUGACAUAGACUCCUCUGAUGAAUGCGUUGAUACUCAUGGAUCUAUGCGCAACGAUUCUGGACUGAAUUCUUCGAAUGUCAAGCCCAUCAGGAUUUAUGCCAAGCCAUGUCUUCCAGUCUUAAUUCAACUUGAGAUGAGCCAUGUUUCCAUAUUCAUUGGCAUAACGUUGGCAAAAACAUUGCUCUGGUUACUGUCAGUCGGGCUGUGCAUUGCAGUUCUGUGUCAGCUGAAUAAAAAGGUGGAUACUCCAAACGUGGUGUACAGUCGGGAGGCCAAGGCAGGGAGUUAUGACAUUCUCAACGAUGCUCAGGAACCGUCUUUGAAAACCGAAUAAUUCUGUUUUUCUUUUGCGAUUCCCAAAUAUCGGGACAACAAUGUUAGCAUUUAUCAGUGCAACUUUAUAAUCAGUGGGGAGGCUUCUGGAAACCGUCUUUGCGUUUAGAGAGGUUUGGUUUGUACUUUUUUAUUAUUUUUUUUAAAUCUUUUGUUGAUGUCUUUAACUUACAGGUGACUCAUUAAAAGUGAAUAAUUUGUGCGUCUAAUUUCAUCACACAGUCGGGCGAUACACGGUAAUAUAUUUGUAUUUAUUUCUGUUCAUUUUGAUGCUUAUGUGUAACAUGAUUUUAAAAAAAAACAAAAAACAAAUUCAAAUAAUAAAAAAGACACAAACCAAUGAAAAUAAACUGUUGGUUGGAUGAAAGUUCUACGUUCAGGACUGUUUCCUCCACUGACCACUAGGGGUCCUCAUGCUGGAGGACCACCUUUGUUCCUUGGAAAACGUCACACUGUGUGUGUGUUUGUGUCUCAAAAACCCCCCAAAAACUUUUAAAUAUUUUAACUGAGCCAUACAUGUUAUACAUAUUGUUCCUCUGGAACUUAAAUACUACAACACGUACAAUGUUAUAAACUUUGAUUUAUCUUUUUUCAUAAUACUGGUUGGGAAUGAUGUGACUUCACAUUUUUCAUCUCCUUUUUCAAGCUUUUAUAUUGAUUAAAUAAAAAAAUCACACCAUUUAUUUUGUGAAUACAUGUUUUUCCUCCUCCACAUUGUAUAUAUAUAUAUGUUUUUUAAAAAAAGCCAACCUUUAAACAGUCGGUAACUACGUGUAACACACGUAUGAGCACAAAUGUUAAAGUCGUAAUAAAUCACACCACAACAAAUUUUAAGCGAAAAUCACAAAUCAAAUUUUUAUUCCUACUAUUUACAGAACAUUAUUUAAGGUUCACAUUGUAAAUAAAUAAUAAUAAUAAAUAAAAAAAAAACAGUGACUGCAUAAAUAAAGUUGCCAUAACUUUAAACAAUGUACUGCAUAUCAGGCAUUUAUGGUUUAAGUGCACAGGUAGAUGAAUUUCAUUUCAAAAUGUUUAACCUCUUACUGCAGGUAGCUCGUGCAGAAAAAUCAAUACUUAUGGUGGUGAGUUGUUCAAAAGUCUCCAGUGGAAUUUCUGCUAGAAAGCUGAUGACUUAUUUCCCAACAAGAAUCUCUCUAGAACCUCGGUGCAGGUCAGCAUUUCUUUUUUUUCCAAAUCAAAAGACGGUCUAACUGCAUUUCUACUCCAUGUGCAACAAAAACCAAGACAUCUCUUCAGCCGUGUUAAUCUGAUCAAACAUCAUUCACUCAUUUAAUGUGCUUUUUCAACAAAAAAAAAAACCUGCAAUGACAACAUUUCAGUUAUAUACAAUGUGCAUAACAAGAGGUCAAGACAUUCAAUGAGAAAUGUGCCUCAUUCUGUUGGUCUAACCUGAUUAUAUAUGCAAGAAAUACUUGAUUAUAUUCAAUAGAAGCAUUUGUAAACACUGUUUU